AAAAAAAGAGGGAUGUAACACGAGGACUUUUUUGGGAGGUCACCCAUCCUAGUACUACUCUCGCCCAAGCACCCUUAACUGCGGAGUUCUGAUGGGAUCCGUUGCAUUAGUGCUGGUAUGAUCGCAUGUGUUACUACAUGCAAUGUAAUCGUAUCUAUUCUUUCUUAAAGACUUUAUGAUCCAUUUGCCGUGAGUCCCACCAGCUAUGUAGGAACACCCUAUCUUCUUUAUAAGAGCUUUGAUACAUGCAAAAUAUUGGAAAAAAACGUCCGAACAUAUAAUUUUCCCCACGUAAUAUAGCAAAGAUCACGAAAAGGCCCCAAAAAGUACAUUUAGUUCAAAAUUUGGAGUAGAAAAAAAAACAAUAGAAGAAUUCCAUUUUCCUUCCUCAGUCAUCGGAGAGCUCUCUUUGGGCUUUCCGAAAAGGUAUCACAUGCCAAGUUUGGCCUCACGGUCUAAACGUUAUAGAGUCAUACAUUUUUAACAAUACAAAAUAGAGAAAAACCGAAAAAAAGAGGGAUGCAACACGAAGACUUUCCGGGAGGUAAUCCAUCCUAGUACUACUCUUUCCAAAGCACCCUUAACUGCGGAGUUCUGAUGGAAUCUGGUGCAUUAGUGCUGGUAUGAUCGCAUGUGUUACUACAUGCAAUGUAAUCGUAUCUAUUCUUUUUUAAAGACUUUAUGAUCCAUUUGCCGUGGGUCCCACCAGCUAUGUACGAAUACCCUAUCUUCUUUAUAAGAGCUUUGAUACAUGCAAAAUAUAUGAAAAAAACGUCCGAACAUAUAAUUUUCCCCCCGUAAUAUAGCAAAGAUCACGAAAAGGCUCGAAAAAUUACAUUUAGUUCAAAAUUUGGAGUAGAAAAACCCCUAUAGAAGAAUUCCAUUUUCCUUCCUCAGUCAUCGGAGAGCUCUCUUUGGGCUUUCCGAAAAGGUAUCACAUGCCAAGUUUGGCCUCACAGUCUAAAAGUUAUAGAGUCAUACAUUUUUAACAAAACAAAAUUGAGAAAAACCGAAAAAAAGAGGGAUGCAACACGAGGACUCUCCAGAAGGUAACCCAUCUUAGUACUACUCUCGCCCAAGCACCCUUAACUGCGGAGUUCUGAUGGGACCCGGUGCAUUAGUGCUGGUAUGAUCGCAUGUGUUACUACAUGCAAUGUAAUCGUAUCUGUUCUUUUUUAAAGACUUUAUGAUCCAUUUGCCGUGGGUCCUACCAGCUAUGUAGGAAUACCCUACCUUCUUUAUAAGAGUUUUGAUACAUGCAUAAUAUUGGAAAACAAUGUCCGAAGAUAUAAUUUUCCCCCCGUAAUAUAGCAAAGAUCACGAAAAGGCCCGGAAGAGUACAUUAAGUUCAAAAUUUGGAGUAUAAAAAAAACCAAUAGAAGAAUUCCAUUUUACUUCCUUAGUCAUCGGAGAGCUCUCUUUGGGCUUUCCGAAAAGGUAUCACAUGCCAAGUUUGGCCUCACGGUCUAAAAGUUAUAGAGUCAAACAUUUUAA
rnacentral:sRNA from 1 species